AGAGAAAAAUUUUUUGAACCCUUUUUCAAAACAAAUAUUUCCGAGAAAAGGGGUCCAUUGGGGGUUUGGAAAUUGGCCUUCCCCAACCAUGAUUCAUUUCUUAAAGAACCCCUUUAGGGGGGCGCCCUUGGGGGUAAAGCACUGGGGGCGCAAAAAAAGGGGAAUAACCCCUACCCGGUGGGUAUAAGGGGGCCCUAAAGGGAAACCCAAGGGGAAAAAAGGCUUUUGGCCAGAUUAGGACCAUUGGGGCGGGGGCCAUGGAGGUCGGCCUUCCGUUAAGAAACGUGUUACAACGUACCCACCGAAUCUGGGAAUGGUGAAAAAGGAUGGCGCUUAUUUCCAUACCGAGCCCCACAUGGUACAGCCACGUAGGCCGGCACGUGUGCAUUUGAGAAGACCCGCCGUGAGGUGUGUUGGAGAUGUUCACGGAGCAGAUCUUGGAAGUAGUAGCAUCAUUUGUAUGUGCCAAUGGAGGCGGGUUUGUCCUUUUAAUAGAAGGAAGUGAUACGAGCCUAGUAAAAGGGAAUAUAGUAGAUAUUCUAUAUAGAUGUACCUAUGUGGCGACACGACAGCGACCCCAACGACGUGUGCCGGUGAGAAUUUUCCGGGACACCCAGAUCUUAUGAGCGUCACGCUGAGACUAAGAACGAGUUGGGCGGUGAAAAUGAAGGAACAUCCUCGUACCGAACCGCAACAGGACUCCUAGGUGAGAAGCCUAAGGCAUAAUUGUAAUGUGAGCAAGGGAAAUCGGCAAAAUGGAUGAAAAACCUCGGGAUAAUCAUUGGCUCUAGCAUGCUAGAACUGGGCUUACAAGGGGAAUCUGACUGUUUAAUAAAAACAUAGCUUUGUGUGUACGCAAAGUGAAUUCUGCCCAGUGCUUGGGACGUUAAGGAAGUAAUUUUAAGUACGCACCUGUAAACGGCGGGAGUAACUAUGACUCUCUUAAGGUAGCCAAAUGCCUCGUCGCCUAAUUAGCGACGCGCAUGAAUGGAGCAACGAGAUUCCCACUGUCCCUGCUCACAGAUUUGCGAACCUACAGCCAAGGGAACGGGCUUGGGACAUGCAGCGGGGAAAGAAGACCCUGUUGAGCUUGACUCUAGCCAAGCACAGGCCUCUGUGACUAUAUCGUAGCGAGGUGGGAGAAAUGUGUGAGACCACUGACAUAGUCGGCGGGGGCACUCGCAAAGCUUGGUGGGGAGUUUGGCUGGGGCGGCACGACUACUAAAACAUAACGUAGACGUCCAAAGGUAAGCUCCGAGGGGAUGGAAACCACUCCGAGAGUAUAAGGGCAAAAGCUUGCUUUAGUUAUUAAUGUAAAUUAUAAUACUGAAA
rnacentral:ncRNA from 1 species